ensembl:lncRNA
ACCAAAUGGCCAGGUGCCCUGGGCUGGCACAGGGAGGCAGUGACCUUGGCUUUUGGCCUGCACAGUCAGCAGAGCCCGCCCACGUGCACUGGGUGCAGGGAGCAGAAAUCAGUGGCCAGACGGAAGCCUGGAAGGGAGGCGAGGCACACCCCCCACCCCUGCCUCCUGAGGGCCUGGGGCUGGCCCCACGCAGGGGUCCCUGUGCCCACUCUCCCCAAUGGCAAGGAGCUCCCUCCAAGGACUGCUCUCACCCAGAUCCCCGCCUCGGACUCUCUUCCCAGAAGCCCAGCCCAGGGCCCAGGUCUCCUCCUCACGUGGACACACAUGUGGACGCACAUGGCAGCCAGUGCGACACAGCCGUUCUCGAGGAAGAGCCUGUCGCUUUCUUUUUUUGUGUGUGUGUGUGUAAUAAAGCUUUAUUAAAGUAUAAAG